rnacentral:rRNA from 1 species
CCUACGGGCGACUGCAGUGAGGAAUAUUGGUCAAUGGGCGCGAGCCUGAACCAGCCAAGUAGCGUGAAGGAUGACUGCCCUACGGGUUGUAAACUUCUUUUAUAAAGGAAUAAAGUGAGGCACGUGUGCCUUUUUGUAUGUACUUUAUGAAUAAGGAUCGGCUAACGCCGUGCCAGCAGCCGCGGUAAUACGGAGGGUCCGAGCGUUAUCCGGAUUUAUUGGGUGUAACGGGAGCGUAGAUGGGUUGUUAAGGAAGUUGUGAAAGUUUGCGGCUCAACCGUAAAAUUGCAAUUGAUACUGUCAGUCUUGAGUACAGUUGAUGUAGGCGGAAUUCGUUGUGUAGCGGUGCAAUGCUUAGAUCUCACGCAGCACUCCGAUUGCGACGGCAGCUUACUAAACUGCCACUGACAUUGAUGCUCGACAGUGUGGGUAUCACACAGGAUUAGAUACCCCAGUAGUC